AGCUUUGCGCAGUGGCAGUAUCGUAGCCAAUGAGGUUCAUCCGAGGCACGAUUAUUGCUAAUAAGAAGCUUCUAAAAUGAAUGAGACACUAGAUCUAGUCUGCCUGCUUCCAUGCUGAGUCAAAAAAAUGGAAAAUCCCUUAGGGA